AUGUGCACUGCAACUCUGCACUCUGCAAGUGCCAGGUGCUGUUUGGUCAAUAUGAUUGUUGGUGGUGGCUAUUUUGAAGGUUCCCAUGAUCAUAAUCCCAUGGCAGAACCUUCAAGAAAAGCUGACUUUGCAAGUGAGAGACAGAGGAGGGAAUGGCUGAAUGAAGCGUUCUGGGCUUUAAGAAUGCUCCUCCCCAAUCCUAAGUGUGACAGGGUCUCAAAUGUAGAGGAUGCCAUUGAGUACAUACAUGAGCUGAACCGGACAGUGAAGGAACUGAAGAUCCUAGUAGAACAGAAGUGGCAUGGGACUAAUAGGAAAAAGAUGAUAAAGAUGGACGGAGAGGCAGCUUCCGAUGGCGAAAGCUCAUCGACGAGGCCAGUGAGCGAUGAGCAACAAUGA
rnacentral:rRNA from 1 species